AGAACGAACGCUGGCGGCAGGCCUAACACAUGCAAGUCGAACGCCUGUAGCAAUACAGGAGUGGCAGACGGGUGAGUAACGCGUGGGAACGUGCCCAAAGGUACGGAACAACUCCGGGAAACUGGAGCUAAUACCGUAUGUGCCCGAAAGGGGAAAGAUUUAUCGCCUUUGGAUCGGCCCGCGUCUGAUUAGCUAGUUGGUGAGGUAAUGGCUCACCAAGGCGACGAUCAGUAGCUGGUCUGAGAGGAUGAUCAGCCACACUGGGACUGAGACACGGCCCAGACUCCUACGGGAGCAGCAGUGGGAAUAUGGACAAUGGGCGCAAGCCUGAUCCAGCCAUGCCGCGUGAGUGAGUGAAGGCCGUUAGGGUUGUAAAGGCUCGUUUCGCCGAGGACGAUAAUGAACGGUACCUGGAUAAGGAAGCCCGCUAACUCGUGCCAGCAGCG
rnacentral:rRNA from 1 species